AUAAGUAACCUGCCCUAGACAGGGGGAUAACUAUUGGAAACGAUAGCUAAGACCGCAUAGGUACGGACACUGCAUGGUGACCGUAUUAAAAGUGCCUCAAAGCACUGGUAGAGGAUGGACUUAUGGCGCAUUAGCUGGUUGGCGGGGUAACGGCCCACCAAGGCGACGAUGCGUAGCCGACCUGAGAGGGUGACCGGCCACACUGGGACUGAGACACGGCCCAGACUCCUACGGGAGGCAGCAUG
rnacentral:rRNA from 1 species